GUAGAUGCUCGUCUCGGAGACUAAGCCAUGCAUGCCCGUGAACAGCAGGGAACGGCGAACGGCUCAGUAAUACUGCGACGAUCUGCUCCUCGCGCGCGAUAACCACGGGAAACUGUGG
rnacentral:rRNA from 1 species